rnacentral:rRNA from 1 species
UACGUAGGGGGCAAGCGUUGUCCGGAAUCAUUGGGCGUAAAGCGCGUGUAGGCGGCUUGGUAAGUCCGCUCUGAAAGCCCCGGGGCUCAACCCCGGGAGGCGGGUGGAUACUGUCAAGCUCGAGUCCGGAAGAGGCGAGUGGAAUUCCUGGUGUAGCGGUGGAAUGCGCAGAUAUCAGGAGGAACACCGAUGGCGAAGGCAGCUCGCUGGGACGUUACUGACGCUGAGACGCGAAAGCGUGGGGAGCGAACAGG